GAUGAACGCUGGCGGCGUGCCUAAUACAUGCAAGUCGAGCGAACGGACGAGAAGCUUGCUUCUCUGAUGUUAGCGGCGGACGGGUGAGUAACACUUGGAUAACCUACCUAUAAGACUGGGAUAACUUCGGGAAACCGGAGCUAAUACCGGAUAAUAUUUUGAACCGCAUGGUUCAAAAGUGAAAGACGGUCUUGCUGUCACUUAUAGAUUGAUCCGCGCUGCAUUAGCUAGUUGGUAAGGUAACGGCUUACCAAGGCAACGAUGCAUAGCCGACCUGAGAGGGUGAUCGGCCACACUGGACCUGAGACACGGUCCAGACUCCUAAGGGAGGCAGCAGUAGGGAAUCUUCCGCAAUGGGCGAAAGCCUGACGGAGCAACGCCGCGUGAGUGAUGAAGGUCUUCGGAUCGUAAAACUCUGUUAUUAGGGAAGAACAUAUGUGUAAGUAACUGUGCACAUCUUGACGGUACCUAAUCAGAAAGCCACGGCUAACUACGUG
rnacentral:rRNA from 1 species